AAUGAACGCUGGCGGCGGGCCUAAUACAUGCAAGUCGAGCGAAAAGACGAUGAGCUCUCUCCUCUGACGGUAGCGGCGGACGGAUGAGUAAGACGUGCAUAACCAACUUAUUUUACUGGGAUAACUUCGGGAAACCGGUGCUAAUACCGGCUAAUACAUUCUACCGCAUGGUUCAAUAGUUAUUGACGGCUUUGCCGUUAGUUUUAGCUGGAUUCGCGCCGCAUUAGCUAGUUGGUAAGGUAACGGCUUACCAAGGCAACGAUGCGUAGCCGAACUGAGAGGGUGAUCGGCCACACUGGAACUGAGACACGGUCCAGACUCCUACGGGAGGCAGCAGUGGGGAAUCUUCCGCAAUGGGCGAAAGCCUGACGCAGCAACGCCGCGUGAGUGAUGAAGGUCUUCGGAUCGUAAAGCUCUGUUAUUGGGGAAGAACAGAUGUGUAAUUAAAUAUGCACGUCUUGACGGUACCUAAUGAAAAAGCAACGGCUAACUACGUG
rnacentral:rRNA from 1 species